rnacentral:rRNA from 1 species
GAUGAACGCUAGCUACAGGCUUAACACAUGCAAGUCGAGGGGCAGCAUGGUCUUAGCUUGCUAAGGCCGAUGGCGACCGGCGCACGGGUGAGUAACACGUAUCCAACCUGCCGUCUACUCUUGGACAGCCUUCUGAAAGGAAGAUUAAUACAAGAUGGCAUCAUGAGUCCACAUGUUCACAUGAUUAAAGGUAUUCCGGUGGACGAUGGGGAUGCGUUCCAUUAGAUAGUAGGCGGGGUAACGGCCCACCUAGUCUUCGAUGGAUAGGGGUUCUGAGAGGAAGGUCCCCCACAUUGGAACUGAGACACGGUCCAAACUCCUACGGGAGGCAGCAGUGAGGAAUAUUGGUCAAUGGGCGAGAGCCUGAACCAGCCAAGUAGCGUGAAGGAUGACUGCCCUAUGGGUUGUAAACUUCUUUUAUAAAGGAAUAAAGUCGGGUAUGGAUACCCGUUUGCAUGUACUUUAUGAAUAAGGAUCGGCUAACUCCGUGCCAGCAGCCGCGGUAAUACGGAGGAUCCGAGCGUUAUCCGGAUUUAUUGGGUUUAAAGGGAGCGUAGAUGGAUGUUUAAGUCAGUUGUGAAAGUUUGCGGCUCAACCGUAAAAUUGCAGUUGAUACUGGAUAUCUUGAGUGCAGUUGAGGCAGGCGGAAUUCGUGGUGUAGCGGUGAAAUGCUUAGAUAUCACGAAGAACUCCGAUUGCGAAGGCAGCCUGCUAAGCUGCAACUGACAUUGAGGCUCGAAAGUGUGGGUAUCAAACAGG